rnacentral:rRNA from 1 species
CCUACGGGAGGCAGCAGUGGGGAAUUUUGGUCAAUGGGGGAAACCCUGAUCCAGCCAUGCCGCGUGAGUGAUGAAGGCCUUCGGGUUGUAAAGCUCUUUUACCCGGGAAGAUAAUGACUGUACCGGGAGAAUAAGCUCCGGCUAACUUCGUGCCAGCAGCCGCGGUAAU